rnacentral:lncRNA from 1 species
GACAUUGAAGACUUCCAGUUCCGGGUUCCGCUGAUCAGAAGCGGACAAGCAAACAGCGGAUGUGCAGUUCCUCUCUUCGCCGAACCCGGUUUUCCCUUUCGGAGCAGCGCGACCGAUUUCCGGUUUCCCCGCCGCAACCACCGUUACCCCCCCCCCGCCCCAAUCCCCGGCGACUCCAGCGACGUCACCGGUUCAGCUCCUGACCUUUCGGCGAACCGCAGAACCACAGGCGACCCGUUCGACGUCAUCACUCCCCGCCCAGAUGUCGCUGUGACAUCACCCCGCACGUGCCUGCGCUGGCACCGCGUCGUCCUGGCGAGCGCCUCCUCGCGGCGGAAGGAGAUCCUGGGGUUCGCUGUGCGAGACAUGUCGGCGGGGUUUCACGUGAGUGACACUUGGUCCCCACGGGAUUGACAGCGACUAGCGGAGUGGCAUGUGGACGUAGCUUCAGGUGACCUCACUGACCCCGCCCCUGACUCCACCCCUUGUGAUGACCCCACCACUGACCCACAGGCCUUGGAGGGGCUGAUCCUGGAGAAGUCAAAGGACCAGGAGGACGCCAUGGGGGGUGCUGUACAGGCUGAGCAGGAAGCAGAGCAGCACAGCGUCAUCAUGAGGGUAGCCAUCUUCACCUGGGGCAUCCACGGAGGCCCUGCCCAGGAAGUGACUUUCUCUCUACUGUAGGAGGAGCUGAUCCACGACUACUUGGACAACAGCACACCAGCGAAGGAUGGUGGAAGAAAAGUGUUUUGAAACUGACCCUACAGAUAAAAGAGUUCAUCAUGAAUGCGAUACCCUCCUAUACAGUUGUUAGAAGCAACCCUCCAUCUCCAACUCCAAAAAUAAAUGAAAACCAAACCACACAGUUGGAAAUCAGCAAGAAGAGAACCGGAUGGUGGAUGGCAGCAGAUGGACAGGAGAGCACUCAGCAGCACUUGCUCUUCCAGCCCGUCACGCCUCCUCCACUGCUGAUAUCUACGUUUUCACUGUUGGGUUCUUUUACAGGGGUCUGCAACAACACAAGGAAGCAAGCAACCCGUGAGAAAGCACUGGCAUGGAUGAAAACAGACUCACUGGAAAGAUGCAAAGCAAUGUCAGGUUACACAACAAAAGGCAAUUACAGUCAUAUGAGGGAGUGUUCGAAAAGUUGUAAUUUGAAAACUGUUUUUGGUUGUCCUUUAGUUGGCCUCCUCUGUAAAUUGUGACAGACAUCUCCUGACAACACUUAAAGCAUCUCAAACCAUCCUUGCCCUGAUCUAUGAGUUCUCAGAACAGAAGGACUACUGAGCCAGGCGUGGUAGCACAUGCCUGUGAUCCUACAACUCAGAAGACAGAAGAGGAAUUCUAGGUCAGCCUGGGCUAGACAGACAGCAAGACUCUUGUUUUGUUUUGAAAGGCUGGUGAGGUAGUUCAGCGGGUUAACUGCCUGGUCUAAGCCCAGUGACGUGAGUUUGUGUGCUGUGGAGCUUCUGCAAACCCUGCCCCUGCCAAAUAAAAACUCGUAAUUUAUAACUCACAAAAA